rnacentral:rRNA from 1 species
GAUAAACGCUGGCGGCGUGCCUAAAACAUGCAAGUCGUACGGUCGCCUUCGGGCGGCAGUGGCGGACGGCUGAGUAACACGUGGGCGACCUGCCCCGUCGCGGGGGACAACCGCCCGAAAGGGCGGCUAAUACCGCAGACCUCGCCCAUUCGGUUGGGCGAGUAAACCCCUUCGGGGGGCGAUGGGAGGGGCCCGCGGCCGAUUAGCUGGCUGGUGGGGUGACGGCCCACCAGGGCGACGAUCGGUAGCUGGUCUGAGAGGAUGAUCAGCCAGACUG